AAACCGUCACCCCUGGGCCACAGGCAGCCACGGACCUCGCCUUUCCCACUUGGUUAGAGUCGGCUCUGCCGGGAGAAAGCGAUUCCAGAAUUCCCUAAGUUAAAGGAAUUUCUUACUCCUUCUUGAGCGCCAUCCAAGGGCCAGGCCUUAGUCUAGGAACUGGCAACACCGUGGCGACCACGUCAGACAAGAUCGCUGCCCUCAUUGAGUUCCCAGGUUGGCAGGGGAAACAAAAAUGUAAUAAAUAACUGCACUUUGCAAGAAGAGCUAUGAAGAAAAAACAGGGUGAUGGGAGAGAGAAUGCUUGGAUGUUGAAGGGAGGCCUUUCUGAGAUGGCGACAUCUUGAGCUGAAUAAAGAAGGAUGAGAAAGGAUGGGGCUUGCAAAGUUCUGGCUUCAAAGAAUUCCAGGCAGAGGGAACAAGAGUGAAGUCUCCAGGGGAAGCCAGCUUAGUGUUUGGAGACUAGAAAGAAGGGGUGUGCGGCUGGAAGAUGGUGAGUAGGGACAAGUGGGGUCAGACUCAUCCAUAGACUGGAUGGCUUAUACACAACAGAAAUUUUUUUCUCACAGUUCUAGAGGCUGGGAAGCCUUAGAUUAAAGCACCCGCAGAUUCAGUGUCUGCUGAGGGCCUGCCUCCUAAUUCAUAGAUAGCACUUGAUAUGGUUUGGCUCUGUGUCCCCACCCAAAUCUCACCUUGAAUUAUAAUCCCCAUAAUCUCCACAUAUCAAGGGUGAGACCAGGUGGAGGUAACCAGAUCAUGGGGGGCAGUUUCUGGCAUGCUGUUCUCACGAUAGUAAGUCUCAUGAGAUCUGGUGGUUUUAUAAGCGUCUGGCAUUUCCCCUGCUUGCACUCAUUCCCUGUCCUGCUGCCCUGUGAACAUGUGCCUUCCACCAUAAUUAUAAGUUUCCUGAGGCCUCCCCAGCCAUGCGGAACUGUGAGUCAAUUAAACCUCGUUUCUUUAUAAAUGACCUGGUUUCAGGUAUUUCUUCACAGCAGCAUGAGAACGGACUAAUAUAGCACUCUUCUCCCUGUAACCACACACAGAAGGGUGAGGGGAGCUCUCCAAUAUUUCUUUUAUUAGGGCUCUAAUCCCAUUCAUGAGGGCUUCACUCUCAUGACCCAAUCACCUACCAAAGUCCUCCCCUCUUAAUACCAUCCCAAUGGAGAGCAGAGUUUCAACAUAUAAAUUUGAAGGGGGAGGACACAAACAUUAAGAAGUCUAUAGCAACUAGUGUCCAGCUUUGUUUAUUUUUAAUACCUCACACCAGCAUAUUGUGAGUUCUCUAUAAAUAAUUGGUGCUGAUUAACAAUAUGUAUGAAUGUGGCCUUUGCCCUGAAGCUAUUAUAUAUGUAACCAGACCCCGCUAUGGUCAGAGAAUAUCCACAAAGAUAAUAGUAUCUUGCAUCUGAAUAAUGUUUUAUACUUUUACUUUGCUUUUUCUUUAUGUAAAAAAAAAAAAAAAAAGCACUUUUAAUGACAUAGACAAAUGCUUGUGCAAUAUUGCCAAAUGAAAAUUCCGGACACUUGCCUUUUAAAGCUGAAUAUUUCUACAUUGUAAAACCCAGUAAUUCAACUCCUAGAUAUAUGCCCUAGAGAAACUCUUACACAUAUGCACCAGGAGUUAUAAGUAAGAAUCUUCAUAGCAGCACAGUUCAUAUUAGCAAAAAACUUGAAACAAGCCAAAUAUCUGUUAACCAAAAAAAAAAAAAAAGGAUAAAUAAAUUGUGGGAUAUUAUGCAAUGGAGCAUUACACAGCAGUGAAAAAUGAGUGUGCUUCAGCCACAGAUACACCAUGGAUGAAUCUUGGAAACAUAAUGUUAAAUGGAAAAAGUGGCCAGGCACAGUGGUUCACGCCUGUAAUCUCAGCACUUUGGGAGGCUGAGGCAAGAGGGUAGCUUGAGCCUCAGAGUUCAAGACCAGCCUGGGCAAAUGGUGAAACCCUGUCUCUACAAAAAAUACAAAAAAAUUGGCUGGGCAUGGUAGUGUGCAGCUGUAGUCCCAGCUACUGGGGAGGCUGAGGUGGGAGGAUCACCUGAGCCCAGGUGGUCAAGGCUGCAGUGAGCCCUGGUCGUGCCACUGCUCUCCAGCCUGUGCAACAGAGUGACACCUCAUCUUAAAAAACCUUGCAGUUUUCCAGAUGGUCUUCCCAUAUACCUUCCUAUCCCCAGAGAUAACCACAAUCUGACAUUUCAUAUUUAUCAUUCCAAUGUUUUAUAGUUUUAUCACAAAUGUAUCUGUGCAUAAACAAUAUAUUAUUUGGUUUUUUUGGUUUGUUUUUUGUUUUCUUGUUUUUAAGAGAACUGGGUGCAUUGGCUCAUGCCUUGCCAGAAGAGCUUCCUUAAACAUCACUUUAUCUGAGCUCAGAAUCUUUCAAGAGCCUUUGCCUUGAGAAUUGUUCUGAGAUGUGCCCCAGAGCCCCCGCAAGGCCCCUUUCUCAGAGGUGGGGAUUUUCAAGCUCUUUCCUACUUAAAAGGGAGCUGGGUGGUGGUGGAGAGUCCUUACCUUCCCUCAUUUAGUCCUACUGGGUCCCAAACAUUAUUUAACAGAAUCCUGUUUUUCAAAGGAAGUAUUUGAUGGAACCCUGUAUUGUAACACAGAUUUUGCAUGUCUUCUAUACAUACCAAGUGUAUAACUCUACCUUUUUUGGCUGCAUGAUGAUAUCAAACAAACACAGGCCUUUGUACUCUCGUCUGGUUGAAUUGUGCUUUUGAAUAUUCUUAGUCUUCAGAUGAACUCAUUGAGUAUAUGGGAUGUGUAUUCAACGCACUAUACCGUAUUACCAGACAUUUGCUCUCUAAUGGGACGUCUUUUAACACUUGGACUCCCCUGUGGAGCGUUCCUGCCCCAAAUCUCAGUCCCUGUGUUUUGAUUGGUGGCAUGUGACUCAGGCCUCGCCAAUCAGAGCAGAGUAGUGCAGUACCCUGGCCACAGGGACUGGUUCAGGAACUGGUUUAGAACCCAAUAGGAUCAAGAAAAUGCACUCUUAAGAUGUUCUGCUCAGACACUUAUCUUUAUGACUGGAAUAAAUUAGAACUGUGAAGAUGUUUUUGUAGGCAUUAUCAUUCCUUUCAAAUUUUUGUUUGUUUGUUUGUUUGUUUGUUUAUUUUGAGACAGAGUUACACUCUGUUGCCCAGGCUGGAGUGCAGUGGCACAAUCUUGGCUUAUUGUAACCCCUGCCUCUCAGGUUCAAGUGAUUCUUGUGCCUCAGGCUCCCUAGUUGCUUGGAUUACAGGUGUAUGCCACCACACCCAGCUAAUUUUUGUAUUUUUAGUAGAGACGGGGUUUCACCAUAUUGGCCAGGCUGGUCUGGAACUCCUGACUUCAAGUGAUCUGCCCUCCUUGGCCUCUCAAAGUGCUGGGAUUACAGGCAUGAGCCACCAUGCCCGGCCUGUUUGUUUAUUGUCCACAAGGGAAGAAUUUGUCUGGGGAGGAAGACAAUACAGAAGAGAGCCAUGUAGUGAUGGAGAGAGAGCCUGUACUCAAGUGACAUUGUGACACAGCUUCUGGAUCAAGCUGUGCCUAAAGCUAACCCUAACCCUGGAAUGUUUUGUUGCAUGACCCAGAAAAUUUUAUUUUUUGCUCAAUUUCACUGAGGUUUUACAUCACUUGCAAUCAAAAUAAUCCUGAAGGAUGCAGGUAUUACUUGAGCCCUUAUAACGUCUCAUCUAACAUGCUUAUUAUAAGGUCAAUAGGCCAGAAUUCAGUAAGCUUAAUUCAGUAAACUUUUCCCAGUCGAAUUGCUUUUCCAUCACAUGCAAUAUAGGGAGGUAUUUUCCACAAUGUCAAGAAGAAUGUUUUCACCAUCAGAUUACAUUUUAUUCUACCCAUUAACAAAAUAAUAUUAAACAGUUCCAUUUACAAAGAAGCUGAGAAAGUCUUAUUUUCAUGUUCAUUGCAUUUUGUUCCACAAUGACAUUGUAACUUGGCAAGGAAUACAGAAUUAUAUUGCAUGGUUUUGUUUCUGUGUAAGUUCAGUGAAGACAAUGGUCAACUUUAAUUAUUAAAAAGAUGAGGCUUUUAGAUACACGGCAUUACAAAUUUGCUUGAACCCACAGAAUGUACAACACCAAGAGUAAACCCUAAUGUAAACUACAGACUGGGUGAUCAUGAUGCAUCAAAUGGGCUCAUCAGUUGUAAGAAAUGUACCACUCUGGUGGGGGAUGUUGGUAAUCGGAGAGGCUAGGCGUGUGUACAGGCAGGGGGUAUGUGAAAAAUCGCUGUACCUUUGGCUCAAUUUUGCUGUGCUCCUAAAACUGCUCUAAAAAAAUGUCUAUUAAAACAUUUUUUAAAGUAAGGUUCAGCUGGGCACGGUGGCUCAUGCCUGUAAUCCCAGCACUUUGGGAGGCUGAGGCAGGCGGAUCACUUGAGGUCAGGAGUUCGAGACCAGCCUGGCCAAUAUGGUGAAAUCCUGUCUCUACUAAAAAUACAAAAAUUUGGCUGGGCACGGUGGCUCACGCCUGUAAUCCCAGCACUUUGGGAGGCUCAGAUGGGCGUAUCAUGUGGCCAAGAGAUUGAGACUAUCCUGGCCAACAUGCUGAAACCCCAUCUCUACUAAAAAUACAAAAAUUAGCUGGAUUGUGGUGGCAUGUGCGUCUAGUCCCAGCCACUCAGGAGGCUGAGGCAGGAGAAGCGCUUGAACCCGGGAGGCAGAGGUUGCACUGAGCCAAGAUCAUGCCACUGCACUC
rnacentral:lncRNA from 1 species